rnacentral:rRNA from 1 species
AUUGAACGCUGGCGGCGUGCCUAACACAUGCAAGUCGAGCGGUAACAGGUGUAGCAAUACAUGCUGACGAGCGGCGGACGGGUGAGUAACGCUUGGGAAUCUGCCUAUUAGUGGGGGACGAACCCGGGGAAACGUCGGGCGUAAUACCGCAUACGCUCUACGGAGGAAAGCCGGGGACCGCAAGGCCUGGCGCUAAUAGAUGAGCCCAAGUCGGAUUAGCUAGUUGGUAGGGUAAUGGCCUACCAAGGCGACGAUCCGUAACUGGUCUGAGAGGACGACCAGUCACACCGGAACUGAGACACGGUCCGGACUCCUACGGGAGGCAGCAGUGGGGAAUAUUGGACAAUGGGCGAAAGCCUGAUCCAGCGACGCCGCGUGGGUGAAGAAGGCCUGCGGGUUGUAAAGCCC